AACUGAGAAAGAAUUGAGAUGAUUAUGCAAUAUAUUGAUCGCCGGUAACUGUCGCUACUGUUAGUUAAUCCACUUUAGUGGUUGCCGUAAAAAACAGCGGCUUCCAUGACUGUCGCUGGCCGCCAUUUUUCUGACGUGUCCUUUGAUAUUAGUCGAUCUCUUUCAGCUGACGCUGCGGCUAAGAAACGAACAGGGCCAUAAUAUUUUUAUUGUCUAAUUCUGCAUCACUACACUAACGGUCUUUGUGUGUCUCUGACUGUGCAGUGGGCAUUGUCGUCUACAAAAAUAACGGUAUUUUUAUCCGCUUGGAUUGACUUUACUCCAUAUGAUCUUCUCCUCUGUCUUGUGCUUCCUUCUCACCAAAGUCCUUAAGAUCUUCAAGGUUGAGGAAGGAAUGACAUUAAAAAUGUAAGGA